GCAGUUUCACCUGAGGAGAUAGGAAUGCCUGCAUUGUGAUCUCACCUGCAGCAUGUCAACAAUAGUGCAUUGGCCCCACAGAGUGUGAGGGUAUUAUGGGGUGUACCAGGCAUUUGAUGCCUCUUGCAAAAAGCCCUGCCACCUUGGUGCAACCCAUCCAAAGAGGAUAUCAUUUGGAGGGGAAACAGUGAGGCACAGAUCCACUAAAGUAUUUAGGCUAACUUCCAUUGAAAUUUAGGAUCCUAAAUACCUUCUUGGAUCUGGGCCUCAGUUCAGACCUCCCAGAGAUACCUACAGAGACCAAUCAGGAUCAGCUGCUGGCAGAACUAAUGAGAAUUGGUCCUCCAAUAACUAGAAAGGCAGAAGCCAAUCAAGGUCCAGCAGGCAAGAUAAAAAGAUUCAUCAGUGUAAUUUGCGUGCUUUAUGCCACUGUGGAGCAACCCAAAAGCAGCUGGAGCAUAUUGGCUCCAAGUUGUCCCUGUUUAGUUGUCAGCAAAGGAACAGCUCGCUGACUCUCUCUUACCAGGAGAAAGUAAAGGCACAUUGUGCCCGUUUAAUCUCAUAACAAAAGAGAACAAAGACAAACAAAUGAAGGCCCAGUUAUCUAUCCUUGAGAUCUGAGUUUUGAACUUCUAGUACCUACUUAAUGAGCCCAUUCUGUUGCUUGCUGGUCAUGGAUGAAGGAGAUUUGCUGGAAGGGGAGCAAUAUGGCACAGGGAAACCUGCAUUGACAUGAGGCAAUAAAGAGCCACCACAUUUGAAACCAUUCUGAACAUCGACCUAUCAACAAUGCAAACCUAAGAGCAAAAGGGAAGAAAAGUUACAAAAGUCUGAGCGUCUCACAAAUUUGUCUCCCCCCAUGCUUACUUUCUGGGCUGGCUCAGUGGUGGCAGCAGGACAAGGCUUAAGAAUAGGAGGACUCUGAGCUGUUGGAGCAAGAGGACUGGCUCCUGAAUCACCUACACAGCUUUCAGCAUUGUUUAUGGGCCCAAGAAACCAGCUUGGAUUGGUGGGAGAGGAUCGUUCUGCCAACAUGGGAUGACCAGCUGUAGCAAGAGAACUUCAGGAUGGUAAGGGCCACCUAUUUUAAGAUCAGUACAGAACUGACCCUGGAGCUUCAGCAACGGUAUACCAAUACGCAGUGCCCCGUACUCAUGGAAAAGCAGGUUGCCUUUCCCAUCUGGAAGCUGGCCACCCCAGAAUGUUACCAGUCUGUAGCUAACCAAUUCAGCACAUGGAACUCAACUGUUGAGCCAUUCUCAUGCAGGUCUUCUAUGCCUUUGAUAAGGUGCUGUCUAACUGGGGUCAUGAACUUUGGUAAUGCUCAGGAGAUUAUUGAUGGCUUUGCAUGCCUGGGGUUCCUAAACUGUAUUGGGCCAAUUGAAGGAAUCCAUGUGCCUGUCAUUUGCCCUCACCCCCAUCUGGGCACAGAAUUUAUAAACAGAAAGUAUUUCUCCAUGGUGCUCUAAGGACCAGUGGACUACUGCAGCAGGUUAACAGAUAUAAAUGUAGUGUGGUCUGGGAAGGUCCAUGGCGCUAGGAUCUUUUGGAACUCAGCACUGUUUAAAUUAAUGGCAAAAGGACUGUUCACCCCAGGACCACUGUGGACAUUAAUGGUGUGUAGGUUGGUCUGGUUAUUCUUGGAGACCUGGCUUACCCCUGAUACUCUGGUGAUUGAAGCCACACAUUUUAACUAUCACUUGCGUAGUUGCAAAAUGGUAGUCAACUGUGCAUUUGGCCAUUUGAAAGGCAGAUGGUGCUGUUUGUGGACUUGGUUGGAAGCAGCAGAAGAGUACGUUCCAACCAAUUUAACUGCAUGUUGUGCCUUGCACAAUAUUUGUGAAAGCAAGGGGGAAAGCCUGACCAACAGGUGGGAGGCUAAGGUGUGGAGACUUGUUUGUGUUCUCUGUUGGCUGUUCAAACUUCCAAACACCCGUGGGAUGUCUAUUGUUCAUGUUUUCAGUCACAUGUCUGAACACGUUAGCCCGGGGUGGAGUAGGAGGGGAGUGUUGGGAUGCAGACACUGCAAGCAAUGGGGUAUUGUGUGUGGGUGGUUAAAGUUUAAUGUUCUUAAUGUGCUUUUAUCAAAACCCUAGGAAUUAUUUCAGCUUUAUUUAAAGGAUGCUUUGUGUUAAAUGAAAUGAUGACCCAUAAUGGAUGUAUUGUAAACAGUUUUAUUAUGA